CAGAUAACCUUUGAGGUGUUUUUAUUGGUCAUCCUCCUGGUUGGCAAUAUCACAGUUCUUACAGUUAUCAUUGUUGAGGGUCAGAAGUCAAGGAUGCAUUUUUUCAUCAAGAACUUGGCUGUGGCAGAUUUGCUCUGUGGAAUAUUUUUUGUGAUUCCACGAAUUGCUGUACAUUCGAAUGAUGAAAUAUUCUAUGGUGGGAACACACUGUGUAAAUUACAAGAGUUUCUGUCGAACAUUGGAAUUUAUGGACCCAACAUGAUCAUGAUAGCCCUGAGUAUCGAUCGCCUACACAUCCUCAUCAGACCUUUGGGGAGUCUCGCAAGUAGAGGGAGAAACCCUACAAUAAUAUGUAUCUUUUGUUGGGUGGCAGCAGUCAUUGUCUCUGUAACAGGACCUAUUGUUUUCAAAUAUAAUGCGGUACAUCAGGAGUGCAAUGUAGAU